rnacentral:rRNA from 1 species
CCUACGGGUGGCAGCAGUCGGGAAUAUUGCGCAAUGGAGGAAACUCUGACGCAGUGACGCCGCGUGCGUGAAGAAGGUUUUCGGAUUGUAAACUGCUUUAGGCAGGGAAGAAACACGACAGUUCCUGUAAAAUAAGCUCCGGCUAACCACGUGCCAGCAGCCGCGGUAAUACGUAGGGAGCAAGCGUUAUUCGGAUUUAGUGGGUGUAAGGGGUGCGUAGACGGGAAGUCAAGUUGGUUGUGAACUCCCUCGGCUUAACUGAGGAACUGCAACCAAAACUAACUUUCUUGAGUGCUGGAGAGGAAAGUGGAAUUCCUAGUGUAGCGGUGAAAUGCGUAGAUAUUAGGAGGAACACCAGUGGCGAAGGCGACUAUCUGGACAGUAACUGACGUUGAGGCACGAAAGUGUGGGGAGCAAACAGGAGUAGAUACCCCUGUAGUC